AGACCUCACUAAAUAAUCCAUCGGUAGUAGCGACGGGCGGUGUGUACAAAGGGCAGGGACGUAAUCAGCGCUAGCUAAUGACUAGCACUUACUAGAAAUUCCAGGUUCAUGGGGACCAUUGCAGUCCCCAAUCCCUACUAAAUGAGCAUUUGGGUGAUUUCCCGUUCCUCUCGGAAUGGGGGCGCCAUAAGGCGAGAACACGCUGCUGCUCACAUUGUAGCACGCGUGCAGCCCAGAACAUCUAAGGGCAUCACGGACCUGUUAUCGCUCAAUCUCAUCUUGCUAAACACAAGUUGUCCCGCUAAGCAGGGCAAACUAAGUGACGGGCACCCGUGAGGACACCCGCCACUCCUAACGUCAGGUGCGCCCGGAGGCACACUACUGACAGCGUUCUAGUUAGCUUGACUGAGUCGCGUUCGUUAUCGGAAUUAACCAGACAAAUCAUUCCACGAACUAAGAACGGCCAUGCACCACUACCCUUAAGUUUGAGAAAGAGCUAUCAAUCUGUCUUACCUCAAUAAGUUCGGACCUGGUAAGUGUGCCUCCAGAGACCUCACUAAAUAAUCCAUCGGUAGUAGCGACGGGCGGUGUGUACAAAGGGCAGGGACGUAAUCAGCGCUAGCUAAUGACUAGCACUUACUAGAAAUUCCAGGUUCAUGGGGACCAUUGCAGUCCCCAAUCCCUACUAAAUGAGCAUUUGGGUGAUUUCCCGUUCCUCUCGGAAUGGGGGCGCCAUAAGGCGAGAACACGCUGCUGCUCACAUUGUAGCACGCGUGCAGCCCAGAACAUCUAAGGGCAUCACGGACCUGUUAUCGCUCAAUCUCAUCUUGCUAAACACAAGUUGUCCCGCUAAGCAGGGCAAACUAAGUGACGGGCACCCGUGAGGACACCCGCCACUCCUAACGUCAGGUGCGCCCGGAGGCACACUACUGACAGCGUUCUAGUUAGCUUGACUGAGUCGCGUUCGUUAUCGGAAUUAACCA